CUAGAAGAGAAAGACUUUUAGCAAUACCUGCCCAGUGCGAAAUAUUACUGUAAACGGCCGCCCUAGCGUGAGGGUGCUAAGGUAGCGAAAUUCCUUGCCUUUUGAUUGUAGGCCUGCAUGAAUGGUUUAACGAGGGUUUAACUGUCUCUAAAUUUUUUAUUGAAAUUGUACUGAAGGUGAAGAUACCUUCAUUUAAAAGUUAGACAAAAAGACCCCGUGCAACUUUGAAAAUUAACUUUAUUCAGAAGUAAAAGAUUUUUAGGUGGGGCGCCUAGAAAGUAAGUCUAACCUUUCUGAAUAAUUAGUUCUUUCCGGAUUCGACCCGAUUAUAUUCGAUCAUAGGAGAAGUUACGCCGGGGAUAACAGGCUAAUCCUUUAGUAGAGCUCGUAUUGGCUAAAGGGAUUGGCACCUCGAUGUUGAAUCAGGGAUGAUAGCUUCAAGGCGUAGAGGCUUUGAGAGUAGGUCUGUUCGACCUUUAAUACCCUACGUGAUCUGAGUUCAGAA
rnacentral:rRNA from 1 species